GAUGAACGCUGGCGGCGUGCCUAAUACAUGCAAGUCGAGCGAACAGACGAGGAGCUUGCUCCUCUGACGUUAGCGGCGGACGGGUGAGUAACACGUGGAUAACCUACCUAUAAGACUGGGAUAACUUCGGGAAACCGGAGCUAAUACCGGAUAAUAUAUUGAACCGCAUGGUUCAAUAGUGAAGGACGGUUUUGCUGUCACUUAUAGAUGGAUCCGCGCCGCAUUAGCUAGUUGGUAAGGUAACGGCUUACCAAGGCAACGAUGUGUAGCCGACCUGAGAGGGUGAUCGGCCACACUGGAACUGAGACACGGUCCAGACUCCUACGGGAGGCAGCAGUAGGGAAUCUUCCGCAAUGGGCGAAAGCCUGACGGAGCAACGCCGCGUGAGUGAUGAAGGUCUUCGGAUCGUAAAACUCUGUUAUUAGGGAAGAACAAAUGUGUAAGUAACUAUGCACGUCUUGACGGUACCUAAUCAGAAAGCCACGGCUAACUACGUG
rnacentral:rRNA from 1 species